ACGGAAGGCAGCAGUGGGGAAUAUUGCACAAUGGGCGAAAGCCUGAUGCAGCGACGCCGCGUGAGCGAAGAAGUAUUUCGGUAUGUAAAGCUCUAUCAGCAGGGAAGAUAAUGACGGUACCUGACUAAGAAGCACCGGCUAAAUACGUGCCAGCAGCCGCGGUAAUACGUAUGGUGCAAGCGUUAUCCGGAUUUACUGGGUGUAAAGGGAGCGUAGGCGGUUUUACAAGUCUGAUGUGAAAGCCCGGGGCUCAACUCCGGUACUGCAUUGGAAACUGUAGAACUAGAGUGUCGGAGGGGUAAGUGGAAUUCCUAGUGUAGCGGUGAAAUGCGUAGAUAUUAGGAGGAACACCAGUGGCGAAGGCGGCUUACUGGACUGUAACUGACGUUGAGGCUCGAAAGCGUGGGGAGCAAACAGGAUUAGAUACCCUGGUA
rnacentral:rRNA from 1 species